AUGUCUUCCUCCGCAGCCCUAUCUUCCACCACGAGCGCGCUUUCCUCCUCCAUGGCCUCCACCUUCGCAUCAUCAUCUAGCAGCAGCUCUAUUCCUCUCGGACCGCCCCCACAGGAGAAGCUAACAAGGGGAAACUUCCUCUUAUGGAAGGCCGUCGUGCUCCCGCAAAUCCGAGGCGCACAGAUGGAGCACCACCUUGACGGGAAGAGCCAGGAACCACCGGCCACCCUCACCAUCACCAAAGAUGGAGAAGACGAACAGGUCGUCAACUUCGCCCGCACCCUCUGGUACGCGCAGCAACAGCAACUCCAGGGGUAUCUGAUGGGAUCUCUGUCCCAUGAGAUCCUUGCUCAAGUUGCCACCCUUCAGACGCCAGCAGAGGUCUGGAGCGCCAUCAACGCUAUGUUCGCCGCCCAGAGCCAGAGUCAGGCCAUCAACACCCGCAUCGAGCUCACGAACUUGAAGAAAGGUAACAUGUCCAUGGCAAAAUAUCUUGGCAAAAGUAAAACCCUUACAGAUGAAGUUGCAUGCUGCACCGGAGUUCCUCUUCCCGAUCCAGAGAUAGUCUCCAAGAUCAUGGCUGGCCUCGAUCUGGACUACAAUCCAGUCGUCUCCGCUCUGUCUGCUAGGGUUGAGCCCGUCUCGGUUCAGGAGCUGUACAGCCAGCUCUUGAGCUUUGAUGCUCACCUCGCCCUCCUCCACGGCACCAACAUCAGGCAGUCCUCCGUCAACUCGGCGGCUCGCGGGCGCGGUCACCAGGGACAGAACCGCAGCACCAACGGCGGCGGACGCGGCCGCGGCAACUACCAGGGCGAGGGUGCUCGUUCUGGUGGUGGCAACAACUCCGGAGGCGGCGGCUUCAAUAACAACAUGGGAGGUGGCGGCUUCAACAACAACAACAGCCGCCGCUCCUCCUCAAAUCGCCGCCCUCGUUGUCAGCUGUGCAAAAAGUCAGGCCAUGAGGUCAUGGACUGUUGGCACAGGUAUGAUGAAGACUUCUUCCCCGACGCUCGUCAUGUUGCUGCAGCCAUACGUGAAGAAGGAGGAGGAGGAGACGGCGUUUGGUACGUGGACUCGGGUGCAACAGAUCAUGUCACCAGCGAGUUAGAGCAACUUGCACUUCGUGAGAGAUACCACGGUGGCGACCAAAUUCACACUGCGGCAAGUGGUGGAGGUAUGGAUAUUUGUCACAUUGGACAAGCUUAUAUUAAUUCCCCCAACCUUAAACGUGAUCUAGUUCUUAAAGACGUGCUUCAUGUCCCACAAGCUGAUAAAAACCUUGCAUCCAUGUCUCGUCUAGACACUGAUAAUAACGUCUUCUUUGAAACUCACCCUCGUUACUUUUUUAUAAAGGACCGGGCAACGAGGGAACUUCUUCAUCACGGUAGAUGCGUUGGAGGGCUCUACCCCAUCACAUCCGGAGCACUCAGUCGCAAUCGUCGUCAAGUUUAUUCUGCCACUAAACCCUCCUUGGAAAGGUGGCAUCAAAUAUUAGGACACCCAUCAUCAAUCAUAGUUAAGCAAGUAGUCAAUAAAGACAAACUUUCUUUGUCACAUAGUCAAAAUGGUGAGUCAGUUUGUGAAGCUUGUCGGUGUGCCAAGAGCCACCAACUUCCUUAUCCCAAGUCAAAUAGUGUGUCCCAUGCUCCUUUAGAGCUUAUUUUCAGUGAUGUAUGGGGUCAUGCAAGAGAUUCUUUUGGAAGAAAUAAAUAA
rnacentral:rRNA from 1 species